rnacentral:rRNA from 1 species
AUUGAACGCUGGCGGAAUGCUUUACACAUGCAAGUCGAACGGCAGCACGGGAGCUUGCUCCUGGUGGCGAGUGGCGAACGGGUGAGUAACAUAUCGGAACGUACCCAGUCGUGGGGGAUAACUAUCCGAAAGGAUAGCUAAUACCGCAUACGUCCUGAGGGAGAAAGCGGGGGAUCGCAAGACCUCGCGCGAUUGGAGCGGCCGAUAUCGGAUUAGCUAGUUGGUGGGGUAAAGGCUCACCAAGGCGACGAUCCGUAGCGGGUCUGAGAGGACGACCCGCCACACUGGAACUGAGACACGGUCCAGACUCCUACGGGAGGCAGCAGUGGGGAAUUUUGGACAAAGGGGGCAACCCUGAUCCAGCCAUUCCGCGUGAGUGAAGAAGGCCUUCGGGUUGUAAAGCUCUUUCAGCAGGAACGAAACGGUCGGCUUUAAUAAAAUCGGCUAAUGACGGUACCUGCAGAAGAAGCACCGGCUAACUACGUG